CAGUAGCCAGGGAAUACGGAGGAUCCGAGCGUUAUCCGGAAUUAUUGGGUUUAAAGGGUGCGUAGGCGGACAGAUAAGUCAGUGGUGAAAGACGGUGGCUCAACCAUCGCAGUGCCGUUGAUACUGUUUGUCUUAAAUAUGGAUGAGGUAGGCGGAAUGUGGCAAGUAGCGGUGAAAUGCAUAGAUAUGCCACAGAACACCGAUUGCGAAGGCAGCUUACCAAGGCAAUAUUGACGCUGAGGCACGAAAGCGUGGGGAGCAAACAGGAUUAGAUACCCGUGUAGUCCCUGUCUCUUAUACA
rnacentral:rRNA from 1 species